rnacentral:rRNA from 1 species
AUUGAACGCUGGCGGCAGGCCUAACACAUGCAAGUCGAGCGGAUGAGUGGAGCUUGCUCCAUGAUUCAGCGGCGGACGGGUGAGUAAUGCCUAGGAAUCUGCCUGGUAGUGGGGGACAACGUUUCGAAAGGAACGCUAAUACCGCAUACGUCCUACGAGAGAAAGCAGGGGACCUUCGGGCCUUGCGCUAUCAGAUGAGCCUAGGUCGGAUUAGCUAGUUGGUGGGGUAAAGGCCUACCAAGGCGACGAUCCGUAACUGGUCUGAGAGGAUGAUCAGUCACACUGGAACUGAGACACGGUCCAGACUCCUACGGGAGGCAGCAGUGGGGAAUAUUGGACAAUGGGCGAAAGCCUGAUCCAGCCAUGCCGCGUGUGUGAAGAAGGUCUUCGGAUUGUAAAGCACUUUAAGUUGGGAGGAAGGGCAGUAAGCUAAUACCUUGCUGUUUUGACGUCACCAACAGAAUAAGCACCGGCUAACUUCGUGCCAGCCGCCGCUGUAACAC